GACAGAGGGGCGAGGCGUUGUCCGGAGUGACUGGGCGUACGAGCGCGUGUAGGUGGAGUGGACCACGUCGCCGGGUGACGAGCGCCGUGCCUUAACACGGUAAGGCCCCGGGUACCACGAGUCGUCUUGAGGCAGUGAGAGGAUAGUGGAAUACCGGUGGAGCGGUGAAAUGCGUAGAGAUCGGGUGGAACACCAGGGGCGAAGGCGGCUAUCUGGCACUGACCUGACACUGAGACGCGAGAGCGUGGGGAGCAAACGGG
rnacentral:rRNA from 1 species